rnacentral:snRNA from 1 species
GGAUGAGACAUCUGUCUGACUACUGGUUGCAAGGGUUAAUUCAGCUGAUCUGGCUGGUUAAGUGCAUUUCCUCUUCCAUGAUCAUUGUUCCAGUGCUCUGUUCGGUCAAAGAGAAUCACCUUCUAGGAAUAGAGAAAGACCAGUCUUUAGUCAUAAGCAGCUGUACUCUCCUGCUAGGACCUCCAACCAAAUUCUCAAAAAAGUACAAUUACACUGAAGGCAGAACAACAGCAAGUGUAAUGAAUUUAAAAAGGAGAUAAAAAGAAAAAGCUAGAUUAUUCCAACAUAUUUU